GGCCAAUUAUUAUCCAGCAAUCAGGACUAAUAUAAUUGGCCAAUAUAAUUAAAAGUGCGAAUAAAAGUACAGAGCGUAGAAAUAGAGGUCGCUUUGCCGAACUUGCACGGUCCCAAUACGAAAAAAUGCGAUUAAAUUCGAAAAUGCGACCCCUAGAGCCGGCCCUGGCGAUACCCAAUACGCAACACGAAACGCGCAACAGCCAAUACAUAUUGCCACAUCGCCAGUAUGUGUUCCUGUAUGCAUAGGAUUCCUGGAACUUUGUUCACUGACAAAACGGGGCUAAAGCUAAAGGUCGUCCACCCAAAAUCACGCCACGUGCAACAUUCGGUGCAUAUCUUCCCUCAGUGUUUGUUGUGCGAUUCCGAUUCUUUAUAUUUUGUAGAAAAUGGCGGUGGCGUGGGACGAUUCCUUAUUUAACAUUAAGUUUGUUCGUGUUGUUGAAAGGCACCCGUGCAUUUGGAAUUUCAAUUUACAGGAAUAUAGCAAAAGGGAUACAACAGAGAAAGCGUGGGCGGAGAUCGCAGAAGAAAUAAACGAAACAGUAUCCAAUUGCCGCGAACGCUGGAGGAACAUCCGGACAGCGUUUCUUCGGUCACUGAAGACACCACCAGACAGAUCUGCGAAAAAUUCCAAAAAAAGAUAUUACUUAAGUAAGUACCUGCAGUUCCUAGUUCCAUAUACAAAAAGAAAAAAACUCUUCGGCAAUCUGGAAGCACAGGCUGAUUUUGAUUACAGUGAUCCUAUGGAUGAUGAAACUAAUCAAGUUGCAGAACUUCCUGAAGGUCUCGAAACAGACACAAAAGAUAAUGUAAGAACUCAGUCUCCAAAUCCAUCAAUUUCCUCACGUUAUGUGACAGAGGAAUCAGAUACUGAAGAAAUGAUACUGACUCAUAGUCAUCUUUAUAAAAAGAAACAAUUCUAUCAGCAAACAUCAUCAAAUUCAUCAAAAUCCACUCCGGAUGAUGAUGCUUCCAGAGCUUUCGUUGAAUGGGUCAAACAAAAAGAGAAUAAAAACAAUGCUGAAGAAAAUCCCAAUCUUCUUUUCUUACGCAGUUUAUUACCGGACAUGAUGAAAAUGACAGAGAAACAAAAUAGAAGAUUUCGCCAGAAAGUUAUCGGGUUAAUGGGUGAAAUACUUGAAGAUGAAGACAUUGAUAGACUGGCCUGUUCUACUUCUUCAGGAACUUACGCUACGACCAGUAUGCACUGAAGUGUACGCGAAGCCAUGGCUAAAACUAGAUUUUAUGUUAGAUUCCUAUUUGACAUGACCAACUUAUUAUCUCCCUCGGGAGAUAAACAGAGUAGAUAUUAUAAGGUUAAAAUACUUGGCUGCGUUUCGGCUCAACACGAGCCAUCAUCAGCAACUACAGGAACAACCAACCUACAACACAUUUUUUCUUCUUCUUCAGGUGCCAUCUCCGCUACGGAGGUUGCCAAUCAUCAUAGCUAUUUUAAUUUUUGAGGCAGUAGCUCUAAAUAGUUGUUUUGAGCUGCAUCCAAACCAUUCUCGCAGGUUCUUCAGUCAUGAAAUUCGUCCUCUUCCGAUGCUUCCUCUGCCAUCUAUCUUUCCUUGCAUUAUGAGUCGCAGGAUGCAAUACUUCUCGCCCCGCAUCACAUGUCCGAGAUACUGUAGUUUUCUUUCUUUAAUUUUAAGUUCAACUUCCUUCUCUUUACCUAUUCUUCUUAGUACUUCGUUGUUCGUAACUCUAUCUACCCAGGAAACCCUCAUAAUUCUUCUAUAGGUCCACAUUUCAAAGGCGUUAAGUCGUCUCAUUGUCUCUACAUUUAACGUCCAUGAUUCCACUCCAUAGUAUAGUACACUGUAUACGUAACAUUUUGUUAGACGUACUUUCAGAGCUAAUGUUAAAUCUUUGCUACAUAGGACCUUUUUCAUUUUCAUAAAAUUAGAACGUGCUUUUUCGAUUCUGACUUUUGAUUUCUGCAGUGCAGUUAUUAUUUUCUGUUAUCAGUGUUCCUAGGUAAGUGUACUUUUUUACUCUUUCGAUCUGCUGGCCCUCUACUAUCAAGUAGAGGUGUGUAUCACACAUUUUUUAUAUUAUUAAAAUAAGUGAAAAAAUUUGGAGAGACAACUCCCACCUCAGUCUAGAAACUUACCAACAGUAAGGGGCCAUCCAUUAAUCACGUGAGGCUCAAAAGGGGGGAGGGGUCUAUCAAAAAUCACGAAAUGUCACAAUACACGUGAUAUACAGGGACUUAAAACUCAUAAUGUAUCACCAAGGGGGAGGGGGAGUUAAAAAAUACCAAAAAAAACCUCACUUAGGCUCGGUCCAAUUAAAAUACAACAUACAGAUUAAAAAUUAAGUAAACUUAAGAAAAAUUUCAGGUAAAGAUAA
rnacentral:misc_RNA from 1 species